rnacentral:lncRNA from 1 species
UCAUUUCUAUAGUUCUCAUUAUGGUAUCUAAGCAGUAAGUCUUUUUUUUCUUUGUGUUUCUUCUUUGUGCUUCUACCAUGGCGAUAGAAGCAGUUUCUGGCAACGAUCAUGAUUGUACAUACCUAAUUUUGCCAACCCAUUCCUAAAUACUAACCCAAACCCCAAAUACUAACAACCAAAACCCAAUUACAAAAAAACCAUCUAACCCACCAAACCAUACCCAUAACCCAAUACUAAAACCCACCAAAUAAUACCCAAAUCCAACAUACAUCAGCCCAAACCCAAAACAAAAAAAAAACACAAAAACACCUAACCCUAAUCAGCCCUUAGCCGCAACCACCCUCCCCACUUGCUCCUGACUGUCAGUCUCUGCCACCACCAUACCAGCCUCUGCCACCAUCACAUCCACCACCUGCUCCACCUGCAAAAUCAAACAGAGCACGCAAGCAGCAAAAUAUAGGGAAACAGAUUUGUACAAAGGCUAUAAAAAGCCAUCAAAAACAAAUGUAAAGGGAGGGGGAUUCGACAAAAUUUUUUAAAAGCAUUCGAUUCCUAGACAAUACAAGAAUAGCAAAUUCCAUUGAUACAAAAGCACAAGUAUAGUACCGAAUCAGAGGACCAAGAUAUACAAAACUUGAAAAGCAAAUACCAAAGGUGAUUUAUUUUAUUUCUUUCCCAUUCUUAAACCUAUUGUUUUUAUAAACAUAUAUAUUUAACAGAUAUAUAUUUAAAAAAUAAUAAUAAUAAAUAAAAAUAAAAAUUUUACCUUUUCCGGCCACCGUGCACAUGGCCGAAAAUCGCCCCAGC